UACGGAGGGUGCAAGCGUUAUCCGGAUUCACUGGGUUUAAAGGGUGCGUAGGUGGGCCUGUAAGUCAGUGGUGAAAUCUCCAAGCUUAACUUGGAAACUGCCGUUGAUACUAUAGACCUUGAAUGCUGUGGAGGUGAGCGGAAUAUGUCAUGUAGCGGUGAAAUGCUUAGAUAUGACAUAGAACACCAAUUGCGAAGGCAGCUCACUACCCAGAUAUUGACACUGAGGCACGAAAGCGUGGGGAUCAAACAGG
rnacentral:rRNA from 1 species